rnacentral:rRNA from 1 species
CCAAUUGAGUUCCGUGUAACUAUAGCGAACCGCUUUUCUCUUCCUUGACAUAAGGACUGUACAUGACAUAACGACCACUUUAGUUUAAGGUGGACUUAACUAAUUAAACCAAUUGAGUUCCGUGUAACUAUAGCAUCCAUCAUUCCUUGAUCAUAGAUUAUUAUAAACUAGGAUAAAUAAGGAUUGUACAUGACAUAACGACCAUUCAUUUACAUGACAAACGGGCGUAAGGCUCCGACAAACUUCGACAUUAGGACGGAGGAUCAUACUUUUCUUUUCUUUCGUUUCGUUUCGUUUCGUUUCCUUACAUAGUCUUAUUUCGACGUCGCCUCGACCCUUUUUUUCGUCGUCGCGUGACCUUUUUUCAUUACUCGUUUCCAGGAGAGUAGGUGUAGGAAAACGGAAACAGUCUCUCGUGGACGACGAUGUGGGUCGAUGACACGUAGGACGCCGACCACAUCGAAUUGUCCUUCCCUGUGGGGUCUCCUCCUCGUCUCGACGACGAGUGUCUCCACUGCAGAAGAGAGACGGCAGCUAACAGAGUGCCGUUCGAGCCCUCGUCCGCUAAAUCAAGCUGACUCUGAGUGUUUAGGUCGUUCCUUAAGGAGAGGUACACUCAAGGAGAAGUGGUCCUAGCUCAACGAAAAGGCCUCGACUUACUCGUCCUGUAGGUAGGUAGGUAGAGUUUCGUUUUAGGUCUUUCAAGUUAAUUACCGCUACCACGACCUACGUAAACGUAGGAUGAACCCGCUGAACGAGUCCGUCCGACGUCGUCUUCUCGACCCUUGCUACGACCCGCAGAGGCCGCUCUAACUGUUCUACCCGCUGUUCGAAGCCCUGGAGUUUUUGAAGGAGCGGCUACGGCUAUCCUCCUUGUAGUGGCUGCUCUGACAGGUUCUCACCCACCCCCUCGAAUUUGCACGGUACAUGCUUCGACGACUAUAGUAGCUGGAAACGGUCGAGUUUCGGUACCUCGCACCUAGUAGGAGGCAUCUACGUCCCACAAAGUUAGGGAACGAGAAGACAUACGCUUUAGGGAAAGUACGAGUACUUUAGCCGUGGGCGUAGUUCCGUGAGUUGGUCUCCGAGCCGUGGUAGUUCCUCGCCUCGCGACGAAAGUUGAAGUAGUUAGAGCCCAGGAUGCUAGUAGUAUCGUCGUUACACUUGCGGAGAGCAGUACCACUAGGGUCGGUGCUCCGCAGUCCCCUCGAGCUGGCCAGCCCACACCAACCCCUAGUCUAGCUUCUUCUAUGAUCUCGUGACCACCGGGUCUAGUACGUUUGUUCGCUCCUCCAGUUACCACCAACGAUAGCAUCCACAACCACGCUAACCGUUCUGUUGGGAGCGAGUCUUCCAGAAGUUACUGCUCCGGUAGGUUCCACUCAAGUCAUUUUUCUAUACCAACUCGCAGUUGGUUUUGAAGUUACUCCGACUCGACGACUCUUCUCAGUAGUAGCUUCGGCCUCCUCUGCGGGUCAGUCGACCUUUACGUGUCCGUUGCGAAGUGUCUUCGGAGUUCCCACGGAACUAACCGGUGUUCUGGAACGAACAUUACCUACUACACACCUUGGUACCUCGUACCCUACCACACGAGUUUUAUGGGAAUCAGCUACAACAACGAAGUCCGUCGGCACAGGAGUAGUGGUGAUCUCUACUUCCACAACGGGCUUCCUACUGUCGGUGUACCGGGAUGGUGGUGCAGCUACGUAAUCGUGGGCUGCUACGAACCAGUAACGAGUUCUUCGUCCAUGAGAGUUCACUCUAUCUACUUAUGGUGUAGUGAUACGAUUUCCUGUAGCCUGACUUUUAAUAUGUUUUUACACCACCAAAUGGUGAACGGCAGUUUCAUUACCCUCCUGAGAACGCAUCUUCUCCCCUCAGCGCAGCUCUGACCCUCGUCCAAAACCUACUAAGAUUUACCAGUUAUUGACUUUACGGGGUUCUCGAGUCGAUACGUCAUAUGAACUCGAUAGUUCUAUACGGAGGAGUAGACUUCGUCACGAAAGAUAUAAUGAGAGAAGAAGGAGUUUUAUUUUGAAUAAUACGUGUACUUCAGCAACGGAACACCUAAUCGCUUCCUAAACAAGUACCUUUGAGUUUACUAGAUCUUCUUAACCCUUAUUUAAUGAUGUUCCUCGACUAUAUAGCCUUGGAAUAUCUCUGUCUAUUUAACAUACAUUUAGUGGAAUCAACGUCGUACGUACUACAAUAAGCGAGUAAACGAGUCAUAUACUAUUUUCUACUUCGUGAGUAUCAAGUACUACCUCUGUAGCUAUUAGAUUGAUUAGGAGUAAGUGUUUUCAAAGAAGCCAAUAGUUAUCUUUGGUUGGUGAACGUCAGACCACUAUAACUGACCUUUAGAAAUGUCCCCGUCUUUAGUCACUCUUGUAAUUAGAGUUGAUAAGUCUAGUUCUACUUCGGGUCACUAGAUAACCAAUGAAAAAGACCAGAUGCCUAAGAUGUAUAUCUUAGACAUCUACACCGACGUAACCAACUUCGUAACGUGGACUCUAUACACCGUGAUGAUUUAUGACUAUAUAGACAUGAAGGCCACUUGAAACUGUUCUACUUUAACAACGUUAAGGAAUCCAAACUACCUACAUAUUUAAAUCACUUAGAAGGACUAUCGUAACACUUCGAACCGGUCGACUCCAAUGAACUAGAAGGGUCGUCUACAUGCUAUGGAUCUCCCAAGGAACCAGACUGUUCAUACUCCUCCGAUGUACCCAAAGCCCGGGUGUACCUACCACUAACCACGUCAAACCUGCUCAACUCCGGAGAAAGGGUUGAGUCUAAAGAACUUAAUUAUGUAAACCUCUUACAUAGACGACGAAGUAAACGAUGUUUACGAUCCCAACCACUCUUUUAUGUAGAAUAGCUGCAUAAGAACAUGACGUGAUCGUUUCACCCUCUACUGCCCAACCAGUUUCUUUUUCUUCCACAGAGACUCCUUCUCGUUGUUGCUUAGCUCUUCCACAAGCUACUCGAGACAGGAGGUGGGUCACAUCUUAAAUAAGUGUAGCUACCCAUAAAACCGGUCGAUGAGGGCUCAACCUACUACAGGUGCAGUUUCCACAGGGACUUGUUGAAUUUCAAAGAGUGUAAAAGACUGGAUCGAACAACGUUUGUUGAAGGGUUACCCAACACAGUCGAGGGGAUGGACGUGAAGAAAGUCCAGCGGGCACGAGGUACGUAGUCCGCACAACCCUGACCUAAGAACGUCCGACACCGUUGAGGUAAAGGCUCAAGUUUUCUCUACUCGAAUUCUCUGUACCACCUUACCCUCCUCGUUCAUGUUCGGUACGCGGCGAAACCGAGUAAUUAACGUUUGACUCCGCACGAGGAGGACCGGAACGGAGGUUACGUUACCGAAACUUUCAAAAUAUGCAUGUACUACAGGUCGUGGAGUCGAUGGAACUUUUGAAAGGAAGACAAUGACUCGAAUGUCACCAAUCUUCAGAGCUGGAACUCUCCUAGUGGUUAGAGGGGUUAGACGUCUUCGAAUGGUAGUGGUAAACGGGUUUCAACUUCCACGACCCCUGAUAGGGACGUGAGCUGUCCAACCAGGAUCUCCUAAUGCGGUACGUUUGUGAAGGUCUUAUGUACGCUCCAUAUUUCGGUUUCGUAAAAGUCAAUAAGACGGCCGGUACCAACGAGAGAAGCCAUCGGGACCCUGUUAGACCAGAACUCACCCUGUUCAAGUCGGUACACCUCGUACAGUUCCGUAUACGUGGACUACCUCUGUUGGUUUCCUUUACCAUGCACAACAUGUGUUCUUCUCUGUUGGAGUUCAACCUAAGUUUAUAACCGAUGAGAAGGCAUAAACUUCUAUACUCCAAGUGUUUGAGAACCCAGACCGACAGUCCAUCGUAUUACUUGGUUGACUCGUAAAACGUACUGAGUCUUGAGAAGUUCUACCCGCUCUUACCAAGAACGGACUUACCGUCAUUUGACUUCAAUAGUCUACCGAGCCUACAGCCCCUUAUGUAGUAACCACGACGUCCUAUAGGAGAGGCAGGGACCGAGGAGUGUGGAAUGGUACUGGAGAGUCUGAGUCUAAGGUUUGAUCUCAAGUUAUCCUCUUAUGUGAGACGUUGAUGUCGGCAGCGUGACUCCCGCGACCGUUCCAACUUUCCGUGUACCUUUACGGACGUCCCUCUUCCCACCGUAGGUUUACUAGUUGCACUGCACAAGAACUGGUAGGUGUGCACGACGUACAACGUAUUGUAUCACUAUCUGUACCUCCUCCUCCUCCCACGUCCGUACGGCUCACUAGUCCUCCUGUUAAUGUAGCUCGUUCACGCCGCCCAUCGUCUACUCCUGCGGUAGUCCCACUCCCUACGUGAUAGGGUCGUAAACCAACGUAGACCUCCAUUUAAUGGUACAGAACCACACAAACAAACUUGAAACAGAUAAAUUAAUUAGACGUUAAGGGAGAAAGUAAACAACAACCAAUCAGGUGUGUUACCGACGUCUCCUCCUUGUUCUUCGUCAUUAUCAACGUAGACCGGGUCCUCUACUUUUGUUCCUUAUUCUUCGUGUUGCUGUUGCAAGAGGAGUGAUUUAAACCAUAAGAAAAAAAAGGGGACGAUAAUUACCACGAAGUUCAGCGUCUAGAGAAGAAUCAAGGAAGAAAACGUUCCCACUGUAAAUUAGUCACACGUUUCAUCUUACAUUGGAUGAUUGCCUCCCUCAUAUAUGAAACUGUUACCUUUUCGAACUAUGCUGAAUUUGGGGCGAGUCAGUCCAAUCUUCGCUACGACGUUUUUGUACUUAGAUACACCGUUUCUGUUUAAAAACAUGUACAUGGAAUAUAUAGCAGUUGUCGUUCGAAAACACUAGCUCUUCUGUUAAUUAUUACAUCCACGUACCUCUGCCGCACAAACACUAAACAUAAUAAAGUCAACAACGAAAAGACAUUGGACUGUGAAAAUAAAUACCCAGCUCAUUUUUUUAUGACAUCGACGUACUUCUGAUAAACACUACAGAUAGGA